UACGAAGGGUGCAAGCGUUACUCGGAAUUACUGGGCGUAAAGGGUGCGUAGGUGGUUUGUUAAGUCUGCUGUGAAAUCCCCGGGCUCAACCUGGGAAUGGCAGUGGAUACUGGCAAGCUAGAGUGCGGUAGAGGGUAGUGGAAUUCCCGGUGUAGCGGUGAAAUGCGCAGAUAUCAGGAGGAACACCGAUGGCGAAGGCAAGUCUCUGGGCCACUACUGACGCUGAGAAGCGAAAGCAUGGGGAGCGAACAGG
rnacentral:rRNA from 1 species